AAAACUGCCAUCCAUCCAAAAAUGGAUGUCUGAAUAUUGCUGGAAAGUGACUCGAGAUAUCUCUAAUACUAAUAGAAAACUGACGCUUCUGUCAAUUAUUUUUUGCAAAUGAACUUUAUACAUUAACUCCAGCAAUUCGGUUCGCAAUUGAGAUUCUUGUCUGCUGGGUAGCAAUAUCUCACAAUACCGAUAUGUCGAAAUGAACAUUUGAAUCUCAUAUUUUCAUGUCGAGUAUGUCGAACGAGUCGCCUAAACACAAGAAAUCCGUUUUUUAGGAUUUCAAUGAAAAGUUAAUGACCGAAUCUCAGAUGCUUUUGUCG